GGAAGAAUUAUGGAGAUUUUGUAUGAGGGCAAGCAUUGGUGCAACAGUAAGGUUGCUCCUUUGUGACCGGAAGGUCAUCAAUUUGAAUGAUGAAAACAGCCUCUAUGCAAAAAAGCAGGCGAAGCCGCGAAGGCUAUGUCUAAUACAAGGCCCUCCCUUGACCCUCACAGAGUAGGGAGUCUUGUGUACCCUGGAAACCCUUUAUGCAGAUUUGAUACAUAAAAGCACAAAUUCAAUUUUCCUUUCUGCGUUCAUGGUUAAAGUUGAAGUUUUAUGGGGGAAUAUUUUGUUACGUUGUUCAUUCUCCAUGCUGCAUCCCAUAUGAUUUUUUUGACACAUUAUUUUUGAAGUUUUUACCUCUUCUUUUAGAGUGAGAAUGUCUUCCACUGCCACUUCUUAGAUUAGAUGCGUUCGUAUGAAUAUAAGUAAG
rnacentral:misc_RNA from 1 species